GCUAGUCGCACGAGUUCAGACUCGUGGCGAAUAGCUCAGUAACACGUGGCCAAACUACCCUUCGGAGCUCCAUACCCUCGGGAAACUGAGGCUAAUAGAGCAUACCACAAUCCAGCUGGAAUGAGGAUUGUGUCAAACGCUCCGGCGCCGAAGGAUGUGGCUGCGGCCGAUUAGGUAGACGGUGGGGUAACGGCCCACCGUGCCAAUAAUCGGUACGGGUCAUGAGAGUGAGAACCCGGAGACGGAAUCUGAGACAAGAUUCCGGGCCCUACGGGGCGCAGCAGGCGCGAAACCUUUACACUGCACGCCAGUGCGAUAAGGGGAUCCCAAGUGCGCAGGCAUAGAGCCUGCGCUUUUGUACACCGUAGGGAGGUGUACGAAUAAGGGCUGGGCAAGACCGGUGCCAGCCGCCGCGGUAAUACCGGCAGCCCGAGUGAUGGCCGAUUUUAUUGGGCCUAAAGCGUCCGUAGCUGGCCGCGCAAGUCCAUCGGAAAAUCCACCCGCCCAACGGGUGGGCGUCCGGUGGAAACUGCGUGGCUUGGGACCGGAAGGCGCGACGGGUACGUCCGGGGUAGGAGUGAAAUCCCGUAAUCCUGGACGGACCGCCGAUGGCGAAAGCACGUCGCGAGGACGGAUCCGACAGUGAGGGACGAAAGCCAGGGUCUCGAACCGGAUUAGAUACCCGGGUAGUCCUGGCCGUAAACAAUGUCUGUUAGGUGUGGCUCCCACUACGAGUGGGUGCUGUGCCGUAGGGAAGCCGCUAAACAGACCGCCUGGGAAGUACGUCCGCAAGGAUGAAACUUAAAGGAAUUGGCGGGGGAGCACUACAACCGGAGGAGCCUGCGGUUUAAUUGGACUCAACGCCGGACAUCUCACCAGCAUCGACUGUAGUAAUGACGAUCAGGUUG
rnacentral:rRNA from 1 species